rnacentral:tRNA from 1 species
GGUUCGAGCUCAGUGGUAGAGCACUUGCCUAGCAUGUGUGAGGCACUGGGUUUGAUCCUCAGCACCA